UGGAUCACCUCCUAACAGGGAGACAACAAAAUGUUUAAUAUUAUUAUUUUGUCACCUUAGGUCGAUCGGUAUCUCACGUUCUUAAUUUAUUAAGAAUUUCAUUUCCUAAGUUUUUCUAGGUCACACCCAUUAUUUUUCCUGGGCCAUUAGCUCAGGUGGUUAGAGCGCACCCCUGAUAAGGGUGAGGUCCCUGGUUCAAGUCCAGGAUGGCCCAUAUCUCUAUGUUGGGGGUAUAGCUCAGUUGGUAGAGCGCCUGCUUUGCAAGCAGGAUGUCAGCGGUUCGAGUCCGCUUACCUCCACUGAUUACCACCUCUUCCAUAAUCGUUAGAAAGGAAAUGUUCUGAGUUGUGACCAAGUUCUGAACGAUUCUAGCUUCCUAAUAAAACUAUUAAGAUGCUGGACUCAUUGAAUUAAUUUCAUUGUUUUCAGAGAACCUUGACAACUGCAUAGAUUAUUUUUAAAGGCAAUAAGCAUCUUUAAUGAUGCAGAUUUAUUAUUUGUGCGAAUGCAUUAAUAACAAUUCUAUUAAGCUGAUGCUUCAAUUUUGAAGUUAUUGGUCAAGCUACAAAGGGCUCACGGAGGAUACCUAGGCACACAGAGGCGAUGAAGG
rnacentral:tRNA from 1 species